GCCCAACAGCUAGCCUCUCAACCUAAACUCAAAAAUUUUAUAUACAUAAACCCCUAUAGACUAACCCAACAAAUCAAAUCAUUUUUCCACCUAAGUAUGUGCGACAGAAAAGGAAAACACGAGCGCGAUAGAAAAAGUACCGCAAGGGAAAGCUGAAAGAGAAGUGAAAGAAUUCAGUAAAGCACAAAAAAGCAGAGCCUAAUACUCGUACCUUUUGCAUCAUGAAUUAGCAAGUCCCCCCAAGCAAAAAGGUUUUUAGUUUGACACCCCGAAACUUGACGAGCUACUCCAAGGCAGCCUAAUAAUAGGGCAAACCCGUCUCUGUGGCAAAAGAGUGGGAAGAACUUUGAGUAGAGGUGACAGACCUACCGAGUCGAGUUAUAGCUGGUUGCCUGGAAAAUAAAUAGAAGUUUAGCCUUUUACCUUCUCCUAUCAACCCUGGCCUGCCCUAAGCCCAGAAAGCGAGAAUGCUAAAAGAGUUAUUCGAAGGGGGUACAGCCCCUUUGAAAAAAGAUACAACUUUAACAGGUGGAUUCCAAACAAAUUUUUAAAGGUAAAUAUUUUGGUGGGCCUAAAAGCAGCCAUCCUAAAAGAAAGCGUUAAAGCUCAAAUAUACAAACUACCCUUUAUCCCGUUAAUACUUUGCAUUCCCCUUACCUUACCAAGCCAUCCUAUCCCCAAUAGGAAAGAUCAUGCUAAUAUGAGUAAUAAGAGAAUAUGAUUCUCUCCAAGCACAUGUGUAAAUCGGAACGGACCCACCCCCGAGAAUUAACGGACCUAACCCAAGAAGGAACUAGAGUAAAAACUGACAACAAGAAAAACCUCUACAACUUUAACCGUUAACCCUACACUGGUGUGCCACCCAGGAAAGACUAAAAAGAGAAGAAGGAACUCGGCAAAUUAUGCUCAAGCCUCGCCUGUUUACCAAAAACAUCGCCUCUCGACAACUACAUAUGAGAGGUCCCGCCUGCCCUGUGACUAAUGUUUAACGGCCGCGGUAUCUUGACCGUGCAAAGGUAGCGCAAUCACUUGUCUUUUAAAUGAAGACCUGUAUGAAUGGCUAAACGAGGGCUUAACUGUCUCCUUCUCUAGGUCAAUGAAAUUGAUCUCCCCGUGCAGAAGCGGGGAUACCAACAUAAGACGAGAAGACCCUAUGGAGCUUUAGACACAAUGGCAGAUCAUGUUAAGAACCCUAUACCAAAAGGUAAAACCCAUUGAAACCUGCCCUGAUGUCUUUGGUUGGGGCGACCGCGGGGCACCACAAAACCCCCGAGUGGAGCAAGAGUACUACACUCUCAAACCCAAGAGCCACAGCUCUAAGCAACAGAAUUUCUGACCUUACAGAUCCGGCACAGCCGAUUAACGGACAGAGUUACCCUAGGGAUAACAGCGCAAUCCCCUUUUAGAGCCCAUAUCGACAAGGGGGUUUACGACCUCGAUGUUGGAUCAGGACAUCCUAAUGGUGCAGCCGCUAUUAAGGGUUCGUUUGUUCAACGAUUAAAGUCCUACGUGAUCUGAGUUCAGACCGGAGUAAUCCAGGUCAGUUUCUAUCUAUGAAGCGUUCUUUUCUAGUACGAAAGGACCGAGAAGAAGAGGCCCCUGCCCCAAGCACGCCUCCCCCUAACCUGAUGACACCAACUAAAUCAGAUAAAAGGGUACCCUCCCCCGCUAAAGAUAAUAGCCU
ensembl:Mt_rRNA